GUAAGGAAUAUUGGUCAAUGGACGCAAGUCUGAACCAGCCAUGCCGCGUGAAGGAUGAAGGUCCUCUGGAUUGUAAACUUCUUUUAUCUGGGACGAAAACGGGAUUUUUAUCUCAAUUGACGGUACCAGAGGAAUAAGCACCGGCUAACUCCGUGCCAGCAGCCGCGGUAAUACGGAGGGUGCGAGCGUUAUCCGGAUUUACUGGGUUUAAAGGGUGCGUAGGUGGGCUUAUAAGUCAGUGGUGAAAUCUCCGAGCUUAACUUGGAAACUGCCGUUGAUACUAUAGGUCUUGAAUUAUCUGGAGGUCAGCGGAAUAUGUCAUGUAGCGGUGAAAUGCUUAGAUAUGACAUAGAACACCAAUUGCGAAGGCAGCUUACUACAUAUAAAUUGACGCUGAGGCACGAAAGCGUGGGGAUCAAACA
rnacentral:rRNA from 1 species